rnacentral:lncRNA from 1 species
AGCUUCAACUUUCAACCUCUUGCUCCACGACCCCGUUCUAGCGUGGCGGGUUCUGGCGGAGCCUGCAACCACCAAAACCUCAACGUGGGAGCCUCCGCGCGCAGUGAAUACGGCAUGUACCGCGGCAGGGGCAGUAUGCGAGUGGUCGCAUCAGGAGGAGUUGCACACGGCGCGACCCGUACUCGUGGCAAGACGUACAAGCGCCAGACUCAAGCAGCUGCGGCCAUCGGCAUCGACAUACCCAUUCGAAAAGGCCGAUGAUCUGAACUAUAUGUGUUGCUCAAUAUCUUGCGAUACAUUUGCCAGGCAGAACCGAUACCAGAAGACUGAUCUGCCACUUGUCAUUUCUUUCCUGGGAAAGUUGCGCAAUAACUUCGAAGACCAGCCACGUUUUCUUUAUUUUCAAAAUUGAUGAAGUAAAACAGACUCUUUGAUUAAAAAGUUUAUAUUUGUGCCCACUUUAAUUGCCCAUUUCACUCCUUCUCCCUGUCUUGUUCCUCAGAGCAAAUGCUUGAAAACUAUAAGCGUAUGCAUAUGGUUAAAACCUUUCGUUGUUCCUAAGGUAUAUCUGGCUAAUACUUCAAAAUAGGUUGCUUAUAUAUUAAGAAAUGAUAUUCGGGACAUUUAUAAAUGAUUAAAGUGUCUCUCGAAACCAGCUUGAAACAAGUAAUUAUAUUGUAGAUGCUGUAUUUGAUCAUCUAUUCAAUAAACUGGAUAAUACUUUUCUACAACGGUGCCAAAA